rnacentral:rRNA from 1 species
UACGGAGGGUGCAAGCGUUAUCCGGAUUCACUGGGCUUAAAGGGUGCGUAGGUGGGUAGGUACGUCCGUGGUGAAAUCUCUGAGCUUAACUCAGAAACUGCCGUGGAUACUACUUGUCUUGAAUAUUGUGGAGGUGAGCGGAAUAUGUCAUGUAGCGGUGAAAUGCUUAGAUAUGACAUAGAACACCAAUUGCGAAGGCAGCUCACUGCACAAUGAUUGACGCUGAGGCACGAAAGCGUGGGAAUCAAACAGG